AUUGAACGCUGGCGGCAGGCCUAACACAUGCAAGUCGAACGAGUGGCGGACGGGUGAGUAAUGUCUGGGAAACUGCCUGAUGGAGGGGGAUAACUACUGGAAACGGUAGCUAAUACAGCAUACCAUCGGAUGUGCCCAGAUGGGAUUAGCUAGUAGGUGGGGUAAAGGCUAACCUAGGCGACGAUCCCUAGCUGGUCUGAGAGGAUGAACGUCACCACUGGAAUGGAGACACGGUCCAUGUUCCUACGGGAGGCAGCAGGGGGGAAUAUUGCACAAUGGGCGCAAGCCUUAUGCAGCCAUGCCGCGUGUAUGAAGAAGGUCUUCGGUUUGUAAAGUACUUUCAGCGGGGAGGCGUUACCCGCAGAAGAAGCACCGGCUAACUCCGUGCCAGCAGCCGCGGUAAUAC
rnacentral:rRNA from 1 species